UACGUAGGGUGCAAGCGUUAAUCGGAAUUACUGGGCGUAAAACGUGCGCAGGCGGUUAUGCAAGACAGAUGUGAAAUCCCCGGGCUCAACCUGGGAACUGCAUUUGUGACUGCAUAGCUAGAGUGCGGCAGAGGGAGAUGGAAUUCCGCGUGUAGCAGUGAAAUGCGUAGAUAUGCGGAGGAACACCGAUGGCGAAGGCAAUCUCCUGGGCCUGCACUGACGCUCAUGCACGAAAGCGUGGGGAGCAAACAGG
rnacentral:rRNA from 1 species